rnacentral:rRNA from 1 species
GAUGAACGCUGGCGGCAUGCCUAAUACAUGCAAGUCGAACGAGAGGAAGGAAAGCUUGCUUUCCUGAAUCUAGUGGCGAACGGGUGAGUAACACGUAGGUAACCUGCCCAUGUGCUCGGGAUAACUUCUGGAAACGGAUGCUAAAACCGGAUAGGUAGCAGACAAGCAUUUGACUGCUAUUAAAGUGGCCUUGGCCAUGAACAUGGAUGGACCUGCGGUGCAUUAGCUAGUUGGUGAGGUAACGGCCCACCAAGGCGACGAUGCAUAGCCGGCCUGAGAGGGCGGACGGCCACAUUGGGACUGGGACACGGCCCAAACUCCUACGGGAGGCAGCAGUAGGGAAUUUUCGUCAAUGGGGGGAACCCUGAACGAGCAAUGCCGCGUGAGUGAGGAAGGUCUUCGGAUCGUAAAGCUCUGUUGUAAGAGAAAAACGGCACUCAUAGGGAAUGAUGAGUGAGUGAUGGUAUCUUACCAGAAAGUCACGGCUAACUACGUGCCAGCAGCCGCCGUAAUAC